AUUGUUAAAGUCUGUGGCUUUAGAAAAGGAUGAAAUCUGCCUAAAAAAUAUUUCUCUACUCUUCCCAGAGUUGCUUUUGGAAGCGAUAUCUUUAUAUCCAAUACGAUCCUUCUCAAAGGUACUUUCAUCUGCUUUAUUUCCUAUUUUCAUGAUUACCUUGAAAGAAUUAUUCCCACCUAUCAAAUGAAGGAACUGAAGAUAAAAGAAGUUAAAUAUCUUACCCAAGGAGUAUGAUAAGAAAUUUUAUUAAAAGCCAAAAUCACUGAAAUCUGAAUAUAACAUGGAGCUCCCCCUCCCUUUUCUACCUCAUCAGGAAGAAUCUGUACCACUAAGGAAUUUUACACACUUCAGUCACCUGGGGCAGCAAAUUCUUCUUCUGCAUUAUCUGAGCUGAAUAAUAUUGGAAGCUAAAGGACACUUCUCUUUAUUUAUGUACUCUUGAGCUAUGGAAAAUGAAAAUAGUGCCAGAAAAAUUGAGUUCAGACUUUUUCUUUGGGAAAUAUGAUGGUCUUUUUACAAUAAACCCUUAGAUAUGGCUACCACAAACCCUGUUAUCUGGCAUUCAGUUCACC
rnacentral:lncRNA from 1 species